GGUGAACGCUGGCGGCGUGCCUAAUACAUGCAAGUCGAGCGAACAGACGAGGAGCUUGCUCCCCUGACGUUGGCGGCGGACGGGUGAGUAACACGUGGAUAACCUACCUAUAAGACUGGGAUAACUUCGGGAAACCGGAGCUAAUACCAGAGCAUAUAUUGAACCGCAUGGUUCAAUAGUUCAAGACGGUUUUGCUGUUACUUAUAGCUGGAUCCGGGUCGCAUUAGCUAGUUGGUAAGGUAACGGCUUACCAAGGCGACGAUGCGUAGCCGAGCUGAGAGGGUGAUCGGCCACACUGGAACUGAGACACGGUCCAGACUCCUACGGGAGGCAGCAGUAGGGAAUAUUCCGCAAUGGGCGAAAGCCUGACGGAGCAACGCCGCGUGAGUGAUGAAGGUCUUCGGAUCGUAAAACUCUGUUAUUAGGGAAGAACAAAUGUGUAAGAAACCAUGGACGUCUUGACGGUACCUAAUCAGAAAGCCCCGGCUAACUUCGUG
rnacentral:rRNA from 1 species